rnacentral:rRNA from 1 species
UACGUAGGGUGCAAGCGUUGUCCGGAAUUAUUGGGCGUAAAGGGCGCGUAGGCGGCUAUCCAAGUGGCGGGUGAAAUCCCUCGGCUUAACCGAGGAACUGCCUGCCAGACUGGAUGGCUCGAGACCGGGAGAGGUGAGUGGAAUUCCAGGUGUAGCGGUGAAAUGCGUAGAUAUCUGGAGGAACACCGGUGGCGAAGGCGACAUCCUGGACCGGUAUUGACGCUGAGGCGCGAAAGCCAGGGGAGCAAACGGG